rnacentral:rRNA from 1 species
AAUCCCGUACAUGGUUUGGAGCGCCCGGAGCUUUGUGAUACGCUUUCUAAGAGUCGAGUUGUUUGGGAAUGCAGCUCAAAAUGGGUGGUAAAUGCCAUCUAAGGCUAAAUAUUGGGGAGAGACCGAUAGCGAACAAGUACAGUGAUGGAAAGAUGAAAAGAACUUUGAAAAGAGAGUUAAACAGUACGUGAAAUUGCCAAAAGGGAAGGGUAGGAGGUCAGAGAUGCGGUCUGGGAUUCAGCCUUGCUUUUGCUUGGUGUUUUUCCCAGUUUGCAGGCCAACGUCGGUUUUGGGCACUGGAGAAGGGUGGGAGGAACGUGGCACUCUUCGGAGUGUGUUAUAGCCUCCUACUGGAUACAGCGACCGAGACCGAGGAACGCAGCGUACUCGAAAGAGCGGGCCCUCGGGCACCUUUACGCUUAGGACGUU